rnacentral:tRNA from 1 species
GAGGGUAUAGCUCAAGUGAUAGAGUGUAUAUGCUUAGCAUAUACAAGGUCCUGGGUUCAAUCCCCAGUACCUCCU